GGGGGGAAGCAAGCUGUAUCCUCUUCGGAGGUGACGCUUGUGGAACGAGCGGCGGACGGGUGAGUAACACGUGGGCAACCUGCCUGUAAGACUGGGAUAACCCCGGGAAACCGGGGCUAAUACCGGAUAAUACUUUUCAUCACCUGAUGGAAAGUUGAAAGGUGGUUUUUAGCUACCACUUACAGAUGGGCCCGCGGCGCAUUAGCUAGUUGGUGAGGUAACGGCUCACCAAGGCAACGAUGCGUAGCCGACCUGAGAGGGUGAUCGGCCACACUGGGACUGAGACACGGCCCAGACUCCUACGGGAGGCAGCAGUAGGGAAUCUUCCGCAAUGGACGAAAGUCUGACGGAGCAACGCCGCGUGAGUGAUGAAGGUUUUCGGAUCGUAAAGCUCUGUUGUUAGGGAAGAACAAGUGCCGUUCGAAUAGGGCGGCACCUUGACGGUACCUAACCAGAAAGCCCCGGCUAACUACGUGCCAGCAGCCGCGGUAAUACGUAGGGGGCAAGCGUUGUCCGGAAUUAUUGGGCGUAAAGCGCGCGCAGGCGGUCCUUUAAGUCUGAUGUGAAAGCCCACGGCUCAACCGUGGAGGGUCAUUGGAAACUGGAGGACUUGAGUACAGAAGAGGAGAGUGGAAUUCCACGUGUAGCGGUGAAAUGCGUAGAGAUGUGGAGGAACACCAGUGGCGAAGGCGACUCUCUGGUCUGUAACUGACGCUGAGGCGCGAAAGCGUGGGGAGCGAACAGGAUUAGAUACCCUGGUAGUCCACGCCGUAAAACGAUGAGUGCUAGGUGUUAGGGGGUUUCCGCCCCUUAGUGCUGAAGUUAACGCAUUAAGCACUCCGCCUGGGGGAGUACGG
rnacentral:rRNA from 1 species